rnacentral:rRNA from 1 species
UAGGGAAUCUUCGGCAAUGGACGGAAGUCUGACCGAGCAACGCCGCGUGAGUGAAGAAGGUUUUCGGAUCGUAAAGCUCUGUUGUAAGAGAAGAACGAGUGUGAGAGUGGAAAGUUCACACUGUGACGGUAUCUUACCAGAAAGGGACGGCUAACUACGUGCCAGCAGCCGCGGUAAUACGUAGGUCCCGAGCGUUGUCCGGAUUUAUUGGGCGUAAAGCGAGCGCAGGCAGUUAGAUAAGUCUGAAGUUAAAGGCUGUGGCUUAACCAUAGUACGCUUUGGAAACUGUUUAACUUGAGUGCAAGAGGGGAGAGUGGAAUUCCAUGUGUAGCGGUGAAAUGCGUAGAUAUAUGGAGGAACACCGGUGGCGAAAGCGGCUCUCUGGCUUGUAACUGACGCUGAGGCUCGAAAGCGUGGGGAGCAAACAGGAUUAGAUACCCUGGUAGUCCACGCCGUAAACGAUGAGUGCUAGGUGUUAGACCCUUUCCGGGGUUUAGUGCCGCAGCUAACGCAUUAAGCACUCCGCCUGGGGAGUACGACCGCAAGGUUG